UGAACACUUGGUGUUGGAGGUAUUGACCCCUUCAGUGCCGAAGCUAACGCGUUAAGUGUUCCGCCUGGGGAGUACGGUCGCAAGAUUAAAACUCAAAGAAAUUGACGGGGGCCCGCACAAGCGGUGGAGUAUGUGGUUUAAUUCGAUGCAACGCGCAGAACCUUACCUGGGCUUGACAUGGACUGGAAGAGUGGCGGAGACGUCCUCGCCCGCAAGGGCCGGUUCACAGGUGCUGCAUGGCUGUCGUCAG
rnacentral:rRNA from 1 species